rnacentral:rRNA from 1 species
GACGAACGCUGGCGGCGUGCUUAACACAUGCCAGUCGAACGGAAAGGCCCUGCUUUUGUUGGGUGCUCGAGUGGCGAACGGGUGCGUAACACGUGAGUAACCUUCCCUUGACUUUGGGGUAACUUCAGGUAACUGGUGCUAAUACCGGAUAGUAGCUCCUGCUGCAUGUUGGGGGUUGGAAAGUUUCGGCGGGUUGGGAUGGACUCGCGGCUUAUCAGCUUGUUGGUGGGGUAGUUGCUUACCAAGGCUUCGGCGGGUAGCCGGCCUGGGAGGGUGACAGGCCACAUUGGGACUGAGAUACGGCCCAUAGUCCUACGGGAGGCAGCGGUGGAAAAUAUUGCGAGAAGGGCGGAAGCCUGAUGCAACGACGCCGCGUGCGAGAUGACGGUCUUAGGGGUGUAACCCGCUUUAGCCUGUGACGAAGAGUGAGUGACGGUAAUGGAUAAAGAAGCACCGGCUAACUACGUG